CGGUGUUUAACUGGCGUGAUGUGGGACGUCCUACCGGUGGGCUUAGCCUCGCGAGGGGCGGCCCAACUAAUAUCCCGUCGCGGUGCUCUUUACUGAGUGUCGAGUCGGGCCGGUACGUUUACUUUGAACAAAUUAGAGUGCUUAAAGCAGGCUAUCCUCGCCUGAAUACUGCGUGCAUGGAAUAAUGGAAUAGGACCUCGGUUCUAUUUUGUUGGUUUUCGGAACCCCCGAGGUAAUGAUUAAUAGGGACAGAUGGGGGCAUUCGUAUUGCGACGUUAGAGGUGAAAUUCUUGGAUCGUCGCAAGACGGACAGAAGCGAAAGCAUUUGCCAAAAAUGUUUUCAUUAAUCAAGAACGAAAGUUAGAGGUUCGAAGGCGAUCAGAUACCGCCCUAGUUCUAACCAUAAACGAUGCCAGCUAGCGAUCCGCCGAAGUUCCUCCGAUGACUCGGCGGGCAGCUUCCGGGAAACCAAAGCUUUUGGGUUCCGGGGGAAGUAUGGUUGCAAAGCUGAAACUUAAAGGAAUUGACGGAAGGGCACCACCAGGAGUGGAGCCUGCGGCUUAAUUUGACUCAACACGGGAAACCUCACCAGGCCCAGACACCGGAAGGAUUGACAGAUUGAUAGCUCUUUCUUGAUUCGGUGGGUGGUGGUGCAUGGCCGUUCUUAGUUGGUGGAGCGAUUUGUCUGGUUAAUUCCGAUAACGAACGAGACUCUAGCCUGCUAAAUAGGCGUACCUUAUGGUAUCGCGAAGGCCCCCGGCUUCGGCCGGUGGGUUUUUACUACCAACGUACAAACAAAUCUUCUUAGAGGGACAGGCGG
rnacentral:rRNA from 1 species